rnacentral:rRNA from 1 species
GCGGAGGAAAAGAAACUAACAAGGAUUCCCCUAGUAACUGCGAGUGAAGCGGGAAAAGCUCAAAUUUAAAAUCUGGUAGUCUUUGGCUGCCCGAGUUGUAAUCUAGAGAAGUGUUAUCCGCGCUGGACCGUGUACAAGUCUCCUGGAAUGGAGCGUCAUAGAGGGUGAGAAUCCCGUCUUUGACACGGACUACCAGGGCUUUGUGAUGCGCUCUCAAAGAGUCGAGUUGUUUGGGAAUGCAGCUCUAAAUGGGUGGUAAAUUCCAUCUAAAGCUAAAUAUUGGCGAGAGACCGAUAGCGAACAAGUACCGUGAGGGAAAGAUGAAAAGAACUUUGGAAAGAGAGUUAAACAGUACGUGAAAUUGUUGAAAGGGAAACGCUUGAAGUCAGUCGCGUUGGCCAGGGAUCAACCUUGCUUUCUGCUUGGYGUACUUUCUGGUUGAUGGGUCAGCAUCAAUUUUGAYCAGUGGAMAAAGAUCAGAGGAAUGUGGCAUCUUCGGAUGUGUUAUAGCCUUUGGUUGUAUACAUUGGUUGGGAUUGAGGAACUCAGCACGCCGCAAGGCCGGGUGUAAACCACGUUCGUGCUUAGGAUGCUGGCAUAAUGGCUUUAAUCGACCCGUCUUGAAACACGGACCAAGGAGUCUAACAUGCCUGCAAGUGUUUGGGUGGAAAACCCAAGCGCGUAAUGAAAGUGAAAGUUGGGAUCCCUGUCGUGGGGAGCACCGACGCCCGGACCAGACCUUCUGUGACGGYUCCGCGGUAGAGCAUGUAUGUUGGGACCCGAAAGAUGGUGAACUAUGCCUGAAUAGGGUGAAGCCAGAGGAAACUCUGGUGGAGGCUCGUAGCGAUUCUGACGUGCAAAUCGAUCGUCGAAUUUGGGUAUA